rnacentral:rRNA from 1 species
AGAAUCAACGCUGGCGGCGUGCCUAACACAUGCAAGUCGAACGAGAAAGUGGAGCAAUCCAUGAGUAAAGUGGCGCACGGGUGAGUAACACGUGACUAACCUACCCUUGAGUGGGGGAUAACCUAGGGAAACCUGGGCUAAUACCGCAUAAUACCUUCGGGUCAAAGGAGCAAUUCGCUUAAGGAGGGGGUCGCGGCAGAUUAGCUAGUUGGCGGGGUAAUGGCCCACCAAGGCAGUGAUCUGUA